rnacentral:lncRNA from 1 species
GAACUUCGGUUCAAUGCUAACAUAGCAAGACUCGAGAGCGAACUCAAUGAUGUGGUAGACGUUUUCUCUGAAAAGAAAGAACGGGUCUGCACACUGCGCGACGAUGCAUUUCUCCAGGUUUCUGC